rnacentral:lncRNA from 1 species
UUAUAGAAUUGGUUGAUGAAAAAUCCAGAAACUCAAUAGAAUCAUUAAUAAAUGUACUGCUUUUGUAAUUUAAAGAUGAUAAUAUGUUGAUUGUUUGCCAGUUCUCUUUUUAUGCUAGAGUCAAUAUUAAUGUAAAUUGUUACAGUGAUAAUCAACAUGCUUGGUCAUUGAUUGUCUCUGAUGAUUUAUGCUAAAUGCCAAAUGCCAAAUGCCAAAUUCUUGGAUAUAUAUGUGUGUGAGAGAGUUUAAGAAG